GUGCUCACCUCAGCAGCAUAGAUAUUAAAAUUGGAACAGCACAGAGAUGAGCUUGGCCUCUUUGCUAGAAUAACAUGCAUAUUUCUGAAGUGUUCCAUAUUUUU
rnacentral:snRNA from 1 species